UGCGGUGUGGUUGCAGUUGGUAGCACGCUGGGCUCAUAACCCAGAGGCCGCCGGUUCGAGUCCGGCCACCGCAU
rnacentral:tRNA from 1 species